GAGAGAUGGCUCAGUGGUUAAGGGCACUCACUGCUAUUUCAGAGGGUCUGGGUUCAAAUCCCAGCACUCA
rnacentral:tRNA from 1 species